rnacentral:lncRNA from 1 species
CCGAGGAUCAAGAAUCGGAGUACUUGGAAUUCGACUCCCGAAAUAGUGAGUAACCUUACUAUCGUCUUAAUUAUCUAAAGUGGUUUUUAUCCGAUUUUGUGAUUUUAUGGGAAAUGAGUUUAAGUGGUAAAUCUUUAUGUUUUAUAAACAAAAUAUGUUUAAAUGAAAUGAUUUUAUAAAUUGUCUUGAAAUUGAAUGAUGGCUUUGAAAAUAGAGUAAUUGGAGACCACUUGAUGUGUUGUAAUUUAUGGUUCUAAUUGAUGGCUUAUGAUAAUGUGUUGGCAUGACUGGCUGGAAUUGUGGUUUGUGAACUGUAUGAAUUGUUCUGUUUUACAUUUACAGGUUGGGUAGUAUAAUAUGAGUCAUGUCAUGCUGUCAAAAUUUUAUUAUAUGGUGGGUUUAACUUGCUGCAGUGGGCGGGUUUUCUGUGGACUAGCUGAUUAGAGGGGCACGAAAUCCCGUUAUAUUUUACCUCAGUUGGAGAGGCGAGUAGGGUAACUCCCGAGGUAUAACUUUAGAGUCACUUCACGCCAAACCACCACGUGAGGGUGAACUCAACCAACUCCAAGGAACGACUAUGUUUUCAAAAUAAAAAUAUGUUUAUGUGUAUAUGAAAUUUUAACAGCCUUGGCGGACUCGGUUGGGAUAGCCCUCGAUCAAGGCAUCCUUGAUAAUUGGGUAUGAGAAUGAUUUUGGCACGAGCCAAAGUUUUAAGAAAUUCAUAAGCCAUGUUGAUUACUCGAUUUAUAUGAAUUGAUUUUAUUUGGUUGAAACAAGUUGAAAAGUGAUGAAUUACAGUAUGUUAAACUAUUUUAUCUGUCUCCAUUUACUCGGCUUUAGAUAUUUUAGAUGGUAUUUGUUUACUCACUGGGAUUAUAUAAUCUCACCACCCUCCUUUCCACCCAUUUCAGGCUCAGGAUAGUCUAUAGAUAGCUGAUUUCAUCGAGGACCACCAUUGGAUUUGCAUCCUCCAAACUGUAGGUUCACAAUCUUUCUUACUUUUGGUUAUUCGAGGGCCCACUUGCUACUGUAAAUUAAAUUAAAUACUCUGACUUACUGUAUUACAAUAUAUAUGAAUUUAUUUUGCUUUUACGCUGUAAAAAUUAUUUAUGCAGUGUUCUAAAAAUAUUGUUUUAUGAGAAAA